rnacentral:rRNA from 1 species
CCGCGGUAAUACGAAGGGACCUAGCGUAGUUCGGAAUUACUGGGCUUAAAGAGCUCGUAGGUGGUUAAAAAAGUUGAUGGUGAAAUCCCAAGGCUCAACCUUGGAACUGCCAUCAAAACUUUUUAGCUAGAGUGUGAUAGAGGUAAGUGGAAUUUCUAGUGUAGAGGUGAAAUUCGUAGAUAUUAGAAAGAACACCAAAAGCGAAGGCAACUUACUGGGUCACUACUGACACUGAGGAGCGAAAGCAUGGGUAGCGAAGAGGAUUAGAUACCCUCGUAGUCCAUGCCGUAAACGAUGUGUGCUAGACGUUGGAAAUAUAUUUUUCAGUGUCGCAGCGAAAGCAUUAAGCACACCGCCUGGGGAGUACGACCGCAAGGUUAAAACUCAAAUGAAUUGACG